rnacentral:rRNA from 1 species
UACGUAGGGCGCAAGCGUUAUCCGGAAUUAUUGGGCGUAAAGAGCUCGUAGGCGGUUUGUCGCGUCUGCCGUGAAAGUCCGGGGCUCAACUCCGGAUCUGCGGUGGGUACGGGCAGACUAGAGUGAUGUAGGGGAGACUGGAAUUCCGGUGUAGCGGUGAAAUGCGCAGAUAUCAGGAGGAACACCGAUGGCGAAGGCAGGUCUCUGGGCAUUAACUGACGCUGAGGAGCGAAAGCAUGGGGAGCGAACAGG